rnacentral:rRNA from 1 species
GACGAACGCUGGCGGCGUGCUUAACACAUGCAAGUCGAACGGCAAGGCCCUGCUUUUGUGGGGUGCUCGAUUGGCGAACGGGAGAGUAACACGUGAGUAACCUGCCCUUGACUUUGGGAUAACUUCAGGAAACUGGGGCUAAUACCGGAUAGGAGCUCCUGCUGCAUGGUGGGGGUUGGAAAGUUUCGGCGGUUGGGGAUGGACUCGCGGCUUAUCAGCUUGCUGUUGGGGUAGUGGCUUACCAAGGCAUUGACUGGUAGCCGGGCUGAGAGGGUAACCUGCCAAAUUGGGACUGGAAUACGGCCCAGACUCCUCCGGGAGGCAGCAGUGGGGAAGAUUGCACUAUGGGCGGAAGGCUGACGCAGUCACGCCGCGUGCGGGAAGACGGCAAUCGGGUUGUAUACCGCUUUCGCCUGUGACGAAGCGUGAGUGACGGUAAUGGGUAAAGAAGCACCGGCUAACUACGUG